ACUUUUGUGCGGAGGAGGAGAGGGGAGUUGGACCAAGGCAGGCGGAGUGCCCUCUUGCACCGUGCCCCACCCCCCUGAUCCCGGCGGCCAGCGCCUCCCAAGCCCGGGCUCCUCGCCCUGGGGACAGCUGGCAGCCCCGCGCCGGACCAGACACAAAGCCGAUCAAUCCCGGCGGCGCGGGGGCGGGGGCCGCCCCGCCAGGGCUUCCCUUCCGCUCGUCGCCUCCUCCUGCCCCCUCGUUAGGACCCGGGCAACACCUCGUCCGGCUCCCACUGCCCGCCCCUUCUUACCCCCCCCCCAAAAAAAAUAACUGCCCAGACCCUCAGGCCCCUGUCUAGGCCAGACCCGCCUCUAGGCAGCCCGCGGAGAAGGCGCCCCUGGAAAAGGGAAACUGACAUCCCAUCAGGGUCCGCCCCUCCCCUGCCCUGCACGCGUCUCUUCUCUCAGCCACCGAAGUUCAGGGAGUCCCCCGCCGGCCUCCAGCGGUCCCGCCACCAAGACCCUCGGCUUUCGAGGAGCCGCCAGCUCCGACCCCGCGAAGAUGGCGAGGAGGAGCCGCCACCGCCUCCUCCUGCUGCUGCUGCGCUACCUGGUGGUCGCCCUGGACUAUCAUAAGGCCUGUGGAUUCUCUGACCCAAAAGAUCAUCACGUAGUCACAGCAAUAGAGUAUCAAGAGGUUAUUUUAGCCUGUAAAUACCCAAAGAAGACCGUGUCCUCCAGAUUAGAAUGGAAGAAACUGGGGCGGGGUAUCUCCUUUGUCUACUAUCAACAGGCUCUUCAAGGUGCUUUUAAAGAUCGAGCUGAGCUGAUAGAUUUCAGCAUACGGAUCAAAAAUGUUACAAGAAAUGAUGCCGGGAAGUAUCGUUGUGAAAUUAGUGCUCCAUCCGAACAAGGUCAAAACCUGGCAGAGGAUACGGUCACCCUGGAAGUAUUAGUGGCUCCAGCAGUUCCAUCAUGUGAAGUACCCAGUUCUGCUCUGAGCGGCACUACGGUAGAGCUGCGAUGUCAAGACAAAGAAGGCAAUCCAGCUCCCGAAUACACAUGGUUUAAGGAUGGCAUCCGUUUGUCAGGGAAUCCAAGACUGGAUGCCCAAAGCACCAACAGCUCAUAUACAAUGAAUGUAAAAUCUGGAAGUCUGCAAUUUAAUGCUGUUUCAAAACUGGACAGUGGAGAAUAUUCCUGUGAAGCCCGUAAUUCUGUCGGACAUCGCAAGUGUCCUGGGAAACGAAUGCAAGUAGACGAUCUCAACAUAAGUGGCAUCAUAGCGGCGGUAGUCGUCGUGGCCAUAGUGAUUUCUCUCUGUGGCCUUGGCGUGUGCUAUGCUCAGAGGAAAGGCUACUUUUCAAAUCUCUUGGAACUCCCAUUUGGUGAUACAGUCAGUUUGAUGUAAAUGGAAGAAACCUCCUUCCAGAAGAGUGGUUCUGCAUCUAAAGCCCCUACAAUGAGUGAAAAUGAUUUCAAGCACACAAAAUCCUUUAUAAUUUAAAAGGAUCCCACCUUUGCGACACACCCAAACCACAGUUGUUGCACACAAGUUAUUAAAAGAUUAUAAAACUCUGCUUUGUCUUACAUUUGCAAAGAGGUACAUGAGGAGAUGAAAUUGGGAUUUAAUUAUACAAUCUUUAUGACUGCUAAAUCCCUUGAAAUGUUUAUUUUAUACAAAUAGUUCUCCCAGCAGCUAAAAUAGAGUCUGGCUUCUUGUGUCUGGAAGGAGUUGAAGGAAAUCAAAAUGCUUUGUAAUAAUCUGAGGCUUAUGAAAUUAACUUCUAGAGAAAGUUACUGAACUGUCCUAACUUCUAGAGAAAGAUACUAAAACACACCAUAUUGGUUGUGAAAUUAAUCUGCAGAGCAUGAAAAUGUAAACUUCAUGCAUCCUCUGUGCAGGAUUCUGAUUUAGAGAGUUCAGAAAUUACUCUGACAGAUGCAAAAUGAACCUCUAGUCUCACUGCUACCAGAAUCCUCUUUUCUCCCCUAAUAUAAUCCUUAUUCUGCUGCUCAUUUAUCACUAACAUAUUCACAGAAGGGAAGUGGCAGGAAGGGUCUUUUACCCAAGGAUUUGCAGUUUGUGUUUACUUUCAUUUCUGAGAACCAAAAGCAACAUGAAAGGAAACACCUAAUGACCAGAACUCUCACCUGGUGUGUGUCCUUGAUUUUAUUAAACAUCAUUUUGAGAGUCAAACACAAACCCAAGUGUCUUAUUUCACCUUCAGAGCUGCUUAUUGCUAUUUCCUUCCCCUGAGAACCCUUUGAAGAGGAUCAGCAACCUUGACAUCAGAACUUACCCCUGCACUGGAGCUGAUACACAUAACCCUGCAGAUGUGGCUUGAUGGUGGCUUCAUAUCUCUUUCUCUAAAAAUCGUGCAGUGGAAAUUUUGCAUUGGGCCGCUCCUUUGCUGUUAUGGCCAGGGAUUUGCCAAUAUUGCUUAUGGCAAAGUCAGGGAUAUGGACGGGAAGACAAAUAAAAUGAGAUGAAAUAGCUCAGUGUGGCUCCCGGCACCUGGUGCCAUGCUUGAUACACAGAACUCAACGGAGAAAUGAAAUGAAAAAUGGGUCUGAUCCUCUGGUAUCCGAACUGAUAAAUCACAAAGACCUCCAGCUGGAUUUACAAAGGGAAAAUUCCAGUGACCCAUGUCAUCGUGAGAGCAAUUAGCCUGUGUUAAAAGCAUGAUCAUCUGGAACUUAUUUUGAUUAUUCAGGUCACAUUGAAAACAGAAUACAGUGAGGGCACUUCUAGUUCCAGGCAAAUCUGGAUGCUAAGGUCUCUCACUACCUUUGGCAACUCUGAAUGUGGUUAAGAGGCUUUUCAAGACAUUCACUCUUUUUAGAGUUCCCGCGGUGGUGCCCUGGGUUAAGAAUCCUACUACAGUAGGUCCAGUCACUGUGGAAGCGCAGGUUCGAUCCCCAGCCCAGGAACUUCAAUGUGCGGCCAUAACAAUAAAAAUAAAGGAGUCUACUCUUUUUGCCCAAUUGGCAAAGCAAAUCCCUAGGAUUCGCUGGACCGACAGCUGGAUUAAGUAUUCACCAAGUGCCUAACAUGUGCCUGGACACCAAGUGGCUGGGAAGAUGCCUGUUGUUAGAUGCCCCACCCACCUGUGUCAGUGAUUUUCACCAGACCCCUUUCAACAUUUUUCGUAAAGGGCCAUGGGGUCCCCACUACAACUACCUGUAUCGUACUGACCUCUGCCAUUUUCAUACCAUGGUAGCAUGAAAGCAGCCACAGAAAAUAAUAAAAAUUAAUAAUGAUCAUGUUUGUGUUUUUGAUUUACAAAAACAGCAGGCAGAGACAGGAUUUGGCCCACGUGCAUAGUUUCCCAAUUCUUGGUGGUGAAACAUGGAAAAAAAAAAAUCUAUCAUUAUGGUUCUUAGAGCAUUUUGAUUUAAUUUUUUCUGUGUGAAAUUAUGUUGUACAAAGGGUUAGGGCUCUGGAAUCUGUAAUAGCAAGUUUUGUUUUGUUUUGUCUUAAUUAUUAUCAUUGCUGUUGUAACUACAUUUAAUUUAAUUUUAGCUGGGGGGUUAACCUAACUAAAUUUGGAACAACUGUGUUUCAAUACAGCAUUGCCAAGAACUUCCUUCAUCUCACAGAUGGUUUUGUUUGAUGAAAGUCUACAUUAAUAAAAAUAGCUGAACUUGCUCAAA